rnacentral:rRNA from 1 species
ACUCCUACGGGAGGCAGCAGUAGGGAAUCUUCCACAAUGGGCGCAAGCCUGAUGGAGCAACACCGCGUGAGUGAAGAAGGGUUUCGGCUCGUAAAGCUCUGUUGUUAAAGAAGAACACGUAUGAGAGUAACUGUUCAUACGUUGACGGUAUUUAACCAGAAAGUCACGGCUAAUUACGUGCCAGCAGCCGCGGUAAUACGUAGGUGGCAAGCGUUAUCCGGAUUUAUUGGGCGUAAAGAGAGUGCAGGCGGUUUUCUAAGUCUGAUGUGAAAGCCUUCGGCUUAACCGGAGAAGUGCAUCGGAAACUGGAUAACUUGAGUGCAGAAGAGGGUAGUGGAACUCCAUGUGUAGCGGUGGAAUGCGUAGAUAUAUGGAAGAACACCAGUGGCGAAGGCGGCUACCUGGUCUGCAACUGACGCUGAGACUCGAAAGCAUGGGUAGCGAACAGGAUUAGAUACCCUGGUAGGAUAGCG